rnacentral:lncRNA from 12 species
ACAGAAUCCAGAUGCACUAUUAUGUUGAUCAGUGAAACUGGCUUUUUAACAAUCCCGUCUUCUGUUUUCAUUUCCAGCCACAUGUCCAUAAUCACUGAACAUUGUUUUCAAUUCCAAAAACCAAGCUUUAUUGACAUCAAUUUCCCUGAUGAACAUAGAUGCAAGAAAUCUCCCCAAAAUACUAGCAAACUGAAAAGGAUCACGUUCCAUAAUCAACAGUAAUUGAUCUUUGGGAUGCAAGAAUGUUUCAACAAAUGCAAAUCAAUAAAGGUGAUAAACG